rnacentral:rRNA from 1 species
UGGGGAAUUUUGGACAAUGGGCGAAAGCCUGAUCCAGCAAUGCCGCGUGUGUGAAGAAGGCCUUCGGGUUGUAAAGCACUUUUGUCCGGAAAGAAAUCCUCUGGAUUAAUACCUCGGGGGGAUGACGGUACCGGAAGAAUAAGCACCGGCUAACUACGUGCCAGCAGCCGCGGUAAUACGUAGGGUGCAAGCGUUAAUCGGAAUUACUGGGCGUAAAGCGUGCGCAGGCGGUUUUGUAAGACGGAUGUGAAAUCCCCGGGCUUAACCUGGGAACUGCAUUCGUGACUGCAAGGCUAGAGUAUGGCAGAGGGGGGUAGAAUUCCACGUGUAGCAGUGAAAUGCGUAGAGAUGUGGAGGAAUACCGAUGGCGAAGGCAGCCCCCUGGGCCAAUACUGACGCUCAUGCACGAAAGCGUGGGGAGCAAACAGGAUUAGAUACCCUGGUAGUCCACGCCCUAAACGAUGUCAACUAGUUGUUGGGGAUUCAUUUCCUUAGUAACGUAGCUAACGCGUGAAGUUGACCGCCUGGGGAGUACGGUCGCAAGAUUAAAAGCUCAAAUGAA